ACGCACGCUGGCGGCGUGCUUCACCCAUACCAGUCGAACGCUGAAGCUCAGCUUUUGUUGGGUGGAUGAGUGGCGAACGGGUGAGUAACACGUGAGUAACCUGCCCCCUUCUUUGGGAUAACGCCCGGAAACGGGUGCUAAUACUGGAUAUUCACUGGUCUUCGCAUGGGGGUUGGUGGAAAGGGUUUUUCUGGUGGGGGAUGGGCUCGCGGCCUAUCAGCUUGUUGGUGGGGUGAUGGCCUACCAAGGCUUUGACGGGUAGCCGGCCUGAGAGGGUGACCGGUCACAUUGGGACUGAGAUACGGCCCAGACUCCUACGGGAGGCAGCAGUGGGGAAUAUUGCACAAUGGGCGCAAGCCUGAUGCAGCGACGCCGCGUGAGGGAUGGAGGCCUUCGGGUUGUGAACCUCUUUCGCUCAUGGUCAAGCCGCAACAAUGGUUGUGGUGAGGGUAGUGGGUAAAGAAGCGCCGGCUAACUACGUG
rnacentral:rRNA from 1 species